CCUCUUGCGACAGUCUGUGCAAGGGCCUAUGUUGAAGUCGUGCGGAGCAAUCCGGACUAUGGACAUAAACGCGCUCGUAAUAAGCGGAUCGGACCCGGGGGCGGUACCCGGCGGCUCCACCAGAUCACCUUCGUUGGGGGAUAUUGGGGCCGAAACAGGAUCGACGAACGUCUAAAGGG
rnacentral:tmRNA from 1 species